AGCCUCUUUAACCCCUGCUGCCAUUGUGUGCGCGUGUAUGUGCACGUGUGUGCGCAUGUGUGCGCGCGCACGUGUGCAUGCACAGGCACAUGCACAGGAACCAAUAAGAUAUUGUGUCACCAUCUCCCCUGUUCAAUAAAACCACUGUCAUUCGUAACCCCAAGCUGGGUUGUAUUUUACUGAGCCACGGUCCCUUCCCCAUCUUAAAUUCUAGUCUCUCUCUCAGCUUUCCCCCCCGUCCUUUCCCUGCCAAAUCUCAGCGCCUCUGUCCCUUCUCCAUUCCCCUGCUGCAGCCUCUUAGCCCCGUUGCUUUCUGCCAUCUCUCAGCCCUGCUCCCACUGCUUUUUGCCUCUUCUCUGUCCCCCUGCUGCAGCCACUUGGCCCUGUUAUUUUCUGCCAUCUCUCAGUCCCAUUCCUGCCAUCCACCGUCUUUUUCUCACAUCUUUCCACAGCCCUUCCUGCCAUUUCUGCCACUUCUAGCCUCCUGGCCCUGUUUCUGCUGUCCACCACCUCCUUCCCCUGUCUUUCCACAGCUCUUAUUGCCACUUCUAGCCUCUCAGCCCCGCUCAUUUCUGCCUCCUGCUGCCUCUCCCCACUCCCUAUCUCUCUCUCCACCUUCUAUUCCAAACCUUCCCUGCCCCCCCCCCCAUGUUCUCCAGCUUUCCCCGACACCCUCUCUAGCCAGCCCUUCUCCCCAACACAGUCCUCUGGCCUGCCAUCAACUUCCCCACAGCUCCUUCAGGCUGCCCCGCAGGUUUCCCAGCAGCCGGAGCCCUUCUCCAGCUCCUGGAACGAGCAGCCCCUCUCCCUGUAGCUUCCUGAGCUCCCUAGCAGCCCCCCUCCAGCACCCCUCAUUCCCAGAGCCAACCCCCAGUUUCCUCCACACCCUCUCUAGCUCACCUGCACUUUCUGUCCCAGUUUCCCUCUCCCCGCUUAUCUUUUGGCUCCCCUGUAGCUCCAGCUUCAGUCCCAGCCUCUGUGCUGGCUUCUCUCCAGCAUCACUCCCCUGUUCUGCAGGCUUUGGACAUUGUCCUUUAAUCAAUUAAGGUCAAUUAACCUAAAGUAACCCCCAAGCCUCAGUUCUUC
rnacentral:lncRNA from 1 species